rnacentral:rRNA from 1 species
AGAGUUUGAUCAUGGCUCAGAUUGAACGCUGGCGGCAUGCCUUACACAUGCAAGUCGAGCGGCAGCGCGGGGGCAACCCUGGCGGCGAGCGGCGAACGGGUGAGUAAUACAUCGGAACAUGUCCAGUCGUGGGGGAUAACCUGGCGAAAGCCAGGCUAAUACCGCAUGAGCUCGGGAGAGGAAAGCGGGGGACCGUAAGGCCUCGCGCGAUUGGGUUGGCCGAUAUCAGAUUAGGUUGUUGGUGAGGUAAAAGCUCACCAAGCCUGCGAUCUGUAGCUGGUCUGAGAGGACGACCAGCCACACUGGAACUGAGACACGGUCCAGACUCCUACGGGAGGCAGCAGUGGGGAAUUUUGGACAAUGGACGAAAGUCUGAUCCAGCAAUGCCGCGUGCAGGACGAAGGCCUUCGGGUUGUAAACUGCUUUUGUACGGAACGAAACGGUCUUCUUUAAUACAGAGGGCUAAUGACGGUACCGUAAGAAUAG